AUACGGAGGGUGCAAGCGUUAAUCGGAAUUACUGGGCGUAAAGCGUGCGCAGGCGGUUUGUUAAGUCAGAUGUGAAAGCCCCGGGCUCAACCUGGGAACUGCAUUUGAAACUGGCAAACUAGAGUGUGGUAGAGGGAAGUGGAAUUCCUCAUGUAGCGGUGAAAUGCGUAGAUAUGAGGAGGAACACCAGUGGCGAAGGCGACUUCCUGGACCAGCACUGACGCUCAUGUACGAAAGCGUGGGUAGCAAACAGGAUUAGAAACCCCGGUAGUCC
rnacentral:rRNA from 1 species